GAUGAACGCUAGCGACAGGCUUAACACAUGCAAGUCGAGGGGCAGCGGGGGUAGCAAUACCCGCCGGCGACCGGCGCACGGGUGAGUAACGCGUAUGCAACUUACCUAUCAGAGGGGGAUAACCCGGCGAAAGUCGGACUAAUACCGCAUGAAGCAGGGGCCCCGCAUGUGGAUAUUUGCUAAAGAUUCAUCGCUGAUAGAUAGGCAUGCGUUCCAUUAGGCAGUUGGCGGGGUAACGGCCCACCAAACCGACGAUGGAUAGGGGUUCUGAGAGGAAGGUCCCCCACAUUGGUCCUGGGACACGGACCAAACUCCUACGGGAGGCAGCAGUGAGGAAUAUUGGUCAAUGGGCGCGAGCUUGAACCAGCCAAGUCGCGUGAGGGAUGAAGGUUCUAUGGAUCGUAAACCUCUUUUAUAAGGGAAUAAAGUGCGGGACGUGUCCUGUUUUGUAUGUACCUUAUGAAUAAGGAUCGGCUAACUCCGUGCCAGCAGCCGCCGUAA
rnacentral:rRNA from 1 species